CAGCCUUCCCGCAUCCAUCGCAGGGGGCACUUGUGCCUUCCGCACCUUCCCCACCCCCGUAAACACCAUCAGGACCAGCUCCCGGUCGCCUUUCUGGUGGAGAAGCUUCCUGGCCUCCAGCUGCUGGCUGCCCGGGCUGGCACAUUGGGCACACACGGACCAUCCCAGCUCUGCCCAGCCCCCAGGGAUUGGGGGGGAGGGGCAGGAUGAGGGGAGGGGUGGGGGCAGACGUGGAGGUUCCCCCCACCCCACCCCGGUCAGGCCGCGCCCUGGCGAGGAAUCUUGGCGCAGGGCAGCCAGCUCUGAUGCCCAGGCGGCUUUGGUAUUUCACAUUGACAUAGUUUUGGGGUGAGACCAGGCUCUGGACUUUCAGUCAUACUGCGGGGUACCUGAGGCCAUGGUGGGCAGAGGGCACUGAACCCGCUGAGCUGAGGGUAGGAGCUCCUGGCUCAACCGCACCUGCCGGUCCUGCGUGGCCUGGAUACUCAGCUGAGAGAUGGGAAUAAGGGAAUUUGGGAAAAGAGAUGACGCAACGGGUGAAAAGGAGCCCCAGGACCCUGCCCCCAAGGCUGGCCGUCCAGGGAACCCUGGCCGACAACACCUGUCACCCAGGCAUGCUCAGCUUGGAAUCAGGUGAGAGUUCAGGUCUCUGCCAAUGGCUGGGCCCCCUCCCUGCAGGACCAUUUUCACUGGGGUCACCCACGGCCCCCCAGAGCCCCAUUUGGCAAGGACGGUCUUCAAAAACCGCUCUCUCGGGUAAACAGUGGCGUCUACUGGUUGUAGGUGCAACACAACUCCCGAGGAAUGAGUUCCUGGAAAAAUCCGGAGCAGAGAAGCUUUGGACAGUGUGUGUUUCUUUGUUGGUAAAUAAUCUCCACUAAGCGAGCUUGGCAGCCCUGCGGGCGCACCCGGGACAGGUGCUCUGGGCCUGGGCCUGUCCUCCGCACAAGAGCUGGACUCUAACCCUCCGCCCCACUGGGACCCAUGGAGGUGGAGGGGCG
rnacentral:lncRNA from 1 species